AAACUUCACAACCUUCCAGCAAUGGAAGACACCGCAUUUGCCACAAAAUUUUCGGACAAGAUUAGAAGUCUUGCAUCUUCUCAGUACCCUUGUAAUGUGCCUAAAACAAUUGACAAACGAGUGAUAACAACUAUAAGUCUUAACCUUCAAGACUGUCCAGAAAACAAAACCUGCUCGGGUUUCAAGGGCAAGAGUUUCUUUGCUUCAAUGAACAACCAAUCAUUCGUUCGCCCUUCCAUCUCAAUAUUGGAAAGCUAUUACAAGAACCUCACCAAAGGUAGUUUCUCCUCUGGUUUCCCAGAAAAACCACCAAAUAAUUUUGAUUAUACUGGUGGGGAUUCAUUUACUCAAAACAUAUAAUUUUGAUUCGGCACGAAACUUUUAGUACUGCCUUAUGGCACAAACAUAGAAAUUGUGUUGCAAGACACAAGUUUUCUUAAUUUGGAGAACCAUCCAAUUCAUGUCCAUGGUCACAACUUCUUCAUUGUUGGGAGUGGAUUUGGAAACUUUAACGAAGCCAGGGAUCCGAAAAGAUACAAUCUUGUCGAUCCUCCAGAAAGGAAUACAGUGGCAGUUCCAAGUGGGGGAUGGGCUGCUAUUAGGAUCAAGGCAGAUAAUCCAGGGGUUUGGUUCAUACAUUGUCACCUUGAGGAACAUACUUCAUGGGGUCUAGCAACUGGCUUUAUUGUCCACAAUGGUCAGGGACCAUCUCAAAGCUUGCUUCCCCCCCCCCCCUCAUGAUCUCCCCUCCUGCUAAUUAAUCGUCUUCUUAAGCUACUAGUCAAUGCCUCGCUGCAUUUAAUAUGCUUAAUUACUUUUACAUGUUAUUAUUGAAUUUUAUGUGUGUUGCAAAAUAUCUGAAGUGAUAUGGUUUGCGUGUGGCAACCCUCAAGAAAUAAAGUCCCCAUGAAUUUUUUUUUUUGUGUGAUAAUGUUGGAAUUAAUACCCUCCAAUGAGGUUCAGGAUGAUGAGUUGCCAGAGGUGUAAUGAUAUUCCAGUCAACUAAUAAUGUAAAUGCAAAUAGUUUUCGUAGUUUAUUUUUUAUAUAAAAAAAACACCACUCAAUUAUUCAUCUGACUAACAUAUUACAUUCACGGCAUGUCUCAAAAUCGACUGUGAGCGGCAUUUUCUUAAAAGUCACGAUAACAGUCCAUAAUUGUUAGCUACCUUGAGUGAUGAUUAUAGCAUACUGAUAUUGGAUCUCUAUCGGUGUGUAAUGGCGGUAGCUACCUUGAGUGAUUACGACAUAAACUAUUACAACACUUCUAAACACCCUUUAAAACACCAGUCACCUUCUAAAUCGCCAUCAACUCAAUAUUCUCUUCUCCUUUCUAGCCGCCAACUUACUUCAACACCAAUCUUGUAGGAAACUACAACGAAUUUGUGCCGCCUUGACAAACCAAGAAUACUGGACUAGUCCACUCCGGGCUUGAUUCGAACUCACAUCAACCCACCCUAACUUCAGAUCUUUAUUAAGAAUCCAAUUGGUGUGCUAAGGGACAAGGGAGUAAGAAUGAAAUUUCGUAGAAAAUAAUAGUAAUAAUGAUGGGUUUGAUGCUGAUGGUGAGUUUCCAUAGAAAGAAUAAUUUUAUGGAACAUAUUUUUUUUUGAGGAAAUUAUUGUUUCGUAAUUAUACAUUAGUAAGCAAGCACGGUUGGCUGGACUUGCACAAUUUGUCUGAACUUGGAACUCCGAAGCACUUCUUAUCAUUAUUAUCCUGUGUCAAUGGAGCAAUUAAUUAAGGCUUAAUGGUUAUGGCACUAUCCGAUGGUGUGCAGUCGUGUUUUUUAAAGAAGUUGAUUUUUUUUUAUUUAAAAUUAAUUUUUUAUAUGUUUUUAUAAUUGAUGUAUUAAUUCUAAAAAGAUUUUUUUAUGAAAUAAAAUAAAAUAUUAUUUUAAUAAAUUUUUAAAUAAAAAAAUAUUUUAAAUCAUAAUUACUAUCACAAUUCCAAACACAACACACUAUAUAUAUAUAUAUAUAUAUAUAUAUAUAUAUAUAUAUAUAUAUAUAUAUAUAUAUAUAUAUAACACCAAAGAAUUUUCAAUGUCUAAAAAUUUUCAAUGUCUAAAAAUUAGAGGAGGCCACUCCUACACCUACAAGUUCACUGUUACUGGCCAAAGAGGGACACUACUAUGGCAUGCUCACUAUGCUUGGCAAAGAGCAUCUGUUUACGGUGCUUUCAUCAUCUACCCUCGCAUCCCAUAUCCAUUCUCACACCCAAUUCAAGCUGAAAUCCCCAUCAUUUUUGGUAAUGAUUAAAUGUUUACUCUUUUCAAAAAAGAUAGAGAGACACAGACGAGUGUCUAAUAUUGUUAGUUAAUUCUUGACUUGUUUUAUGUGUAAUAAAAUGCAGGAGAAUGGUGGAAUGGGGAUCCAGAUGAAGUUGAAAAAACAAUGCUGUUAACAGGAGGAGGGCCAGACAGUUCCAAUGCCUACACCAUAAAUGGAUUACCAGGACCUCUCUAUCCUUGCUCUAACCAAGGUAAUUGUAAGACCACUGUCUCUCUUUACAUUUCUUAGCACUACAAAAAAUGAAGAUGACCUGAAAUGGUUAAUUUGCUAAUUUUAUUUUGCAGAUACUUUUAUUCAGACGGUGGAAUAUGGCAAGACCUAUUUGCUUAGGAUCAUCAAUGCAGCUCUAACAAAUGAGCUCUUCUUUGCGAUAGCGAAACAUACGUUGACAGUGGUGGAGGUUGUUGCAGUCUACACUAAACCCUUCGCAACCACUUCCAUUAUGAUUUCUCCUGGACAAACCACUACUGUUUUAAUGACUGCAAACAAAGUUCCAGACUUCACAGGCAUGUUUGUCAUGGCAGCAAGGCCUUAUCUUACCUCUGUGUUCCCCUCCAACAACUCCACCACAAUCGGCUUCUUGAGGUACAAAAAUGCAAGGACCUGGAAAGGAAAAUCCCCAGUUGAUCCGAGCAGCCUUAAACUUCACAACCUUCCAGCAAUGGAAGACACCGCAUUUGCCACAAAAUUUUCGGACAAGAUUAAAAGUCUUGCAUCUCCUCAGUACCCUUGUAAUGUGCCUAAAACAAUUGACAAACGAGUGAUAACAACUAUAAGUCUUAACCUUCAAGACUGUCCAGAAAACAAAACCUGCUCGGGUUUCAAGGGCAAGAGUUUCUUUGCUUCAAUGAACAACCAAUCAUUCGUUCGCCCUUCCAUCUCAAUAUUGGAAAGCUAUUACAAGAACCUCACCAAAGGUAGUUUCUCCUCUGGUUUCCCAGAAAAACCACCAAAUAAUUUUGAUUAUACUGGUGGGGAUUCAUUUACUCAAAACAUGA
rnacentral:lncRNA from 1 species